rnacentral:rRNA from 1 species
GGACUCAGGAGAGACUGCCGCAGACAAUGCGGAGGAAGGCGGGGAUGACGUCAAGUCAUCAUGCCCCUUAUGGCUUGGGCUACACACGUACUACAAUGGCUCUUAAUAGAGGGAAGCGAAGGAGCGAUCCGGAGCAAACCCCAAAAACAGAGUCCCAGUUCGGAUUGCAGGCUGCAACCCGCCUGCAUGAAGCAGGAAUCGCUAGUAAUCGCAGGUCAGCAUACUGCGGUGAAUACGUUCCCGGGCCUUGUACACACCGCCCGUCACACCACGAAAGUCAUUCACACCCGAAGCCGGUGAGGUAACC